rnacentral:rRNA from 1 species
GACGAACGCUGGCGGCGUGCCUAACACAUGCAAGUUGAGCGACGAACCAGGGCUUGCCCUGGGGCAAAGCAGCGAACGGGUGAGUAACACGUGGGUAACCUACCCCUAUAACCGGGACAACCCGAGGAAACUCGGGCUAAUACCGGAUGUGCUCACUGGACUUCGGUUCAGUGCGUAAAGGAAGCUUCGGCCUCCGUAUCGGGAGUGGCCCUCGGCCCAUUAGUUUGUUGGUGGGGUAACGGCUCACCAAGACCGCGAUGGGUAGCUGGUCUGAGAGGACGAUCAGCCACACUGGAACUGAGACACGGCCCAGACUCCUACGGGAGGCAGCAGUGGGGAAUCUUGCGCAAUGCGCGAAAGCGUGACGCAGCAACGCCGCGUGGGGGAAGAAGGCCUUCGGGUUGUAAACCCCUUUCAGGAGGGACGAAGGUUCGGCGGUGAAUAGCCGCCCGGACUGACGGUACCUCCACAAGAAGCCCCGGCUAACUACGUG